GAUGAAGAACGUAGCGAAAUGCGAUACGUAAUGUGAAUUGCAGAAUUCAGUGAAUCAUCGAGUCUUUGAACGCACAUUGCGCCCCCUGGUAUUCCGGGGGGCAUGCCUGUCCGAGCGUCAUUGCUGCCCUCAAGCACGGCUAGUGUGUUGGGCCUCCGUCCUCCUCCCGGGGGACGGGCCCGAAAGGCAGCGGCGGCACCGCGUCCGGUCCUCGAGCGUAUGGGGCUUCGUCACCCGCUCUUGUAGGCCCGGCCGGCGCUUGCCGACACAUCAAUCUUUUUUCCAGGUUGACCUCGGAUCAGGUAGGGAUACCCGCUGAACUUAAGCAUAUCAAUAAGCGGAGGA
rnacentral:misc_RNA from 1 species